rnacentral:sRNA from 1 species
CCGCACUGGUUCGAAUGGGAGACUCAUCAAAUAAUUAAUGAAACUGAGACCAGUUUUGCCAGCCAAUGGCGUGCCAUCCUCUGAUGGUGACAUUCGAGUAGGUGGAUUACAAAGGCGGCAAACCCUCAAAACCUGUCUAACGGAGUUUCAUCACAUCUUCACCAGUGCGGUUUUC